rnacentral:rRNA from 1 species
CCUACGGGUGGCAGCAGUGAGGAAUAUUGGUCAAUGGACGAGAGCCUGAACCAGCCAAGUAGCGUGAAGGAUGACUGCCCUAUGGGUUGUAAACUUCUUUUAUAUGGGAAUAAAAUGUUCCACGUGUGGGAUUUUGUAUGUACCAUAUGAAUAAGGAUCGGCUAACUCCGUGCCAGCAGCCGCGGUAAUACGGAGGAUCCGAGCGUUAUCCGGAUUUAUUGGGUUUAAAGGGAGCGUAGGUGGAUUGUUAAGGCAGGUGUGAAAGUUUGCGGCUCAACCGUAGAAUUGCAGUUGAAACUGGCAGUCUUGAGUACAGUAGAGGUGGGCGGAAUUUGUGGUGUAGCGGUGAAAUGCUUAGAUAUCACGAAGAACUCCGAUUGCGAAGGCAGCUCACUGGACUGCAACUGACACUGAGGCUCGAAAGUGUGGGUAUCAAACAGGAUUAGAUACCCGAGUAGUC